rnacentral:rRNA from 1 species
AGAGUUUGAUCCUGGCUCAGGAUGAACGCUGACAGAAUGCUUAACACAUGCAAGUCAAUGGGGAAACGGUGCUUGCACCGUGAUAACCAUGGCGGACGGGUGAGUAACGCGUAAAGAACUUGCCUCUUAGUCUGGGAUAACAGAUGGAAACGACUGAUAAGACUAGAUAUUAUUAAAGCUUCGCAUGAAGCUUUAAUGAAAAGAGAUGCUAAGAGAGAGCUUUGCGUCCUAUUAGUUAGUUGGUGAGGUAACGGCUCACCAAGACGAAGAUAGGUAGCCGGUCUGAGAGGAUGAACGGCCACAAGGGGACUGAGAUACGGCCCUUACUCUUACGGGAGGCAGCAGUGGGGAAUAUUGGACAAUGGAGGAGACUCUGAUCCAGCAAUUCUGUGUGCACGAAGACGGUUUUCGGAUUGUAAAGUGCUUUCAGCAGGGAAGAAGAAAGUGACGGUACCUGCAGAAGAAGCGACGGCUAAAUACGUGCCAGCAGCCGCGGUAAUACGUAUGUCGCGAGCGUUAUCCGGAAUUAUUGGGCAUAAAGGGCAUCUAGGCGGCCAGAUAAGUCCGAGGUGAAAACUGCCGGCUCAACCAGCAGCUUGCCUUGGAAACUACCUGGCUAGAGUAUUGGAGAGGUGGACGGAACUACACGAGUAGAGGUGAAAUUCGUAGAUAUGUGUAGGAAUGCCGAUGAUGAAGAUAGUUCACUGGACGAUAACUGACGCUGAAGUGCGAAAGCUAGGGGAGCAAACAGGAUUAGAUACCCUGGUAGUCCUAGCUGUAAACGAUGAUUACUGGGUGUGGGCAUGAAGAGUGUCUGUGCCGAAGCUAAUGCGAUAAGUAAUCCGCCUGGGGAGUACGACCGCAAGGUUGAAACUCAAAGGAAUUGACGGGGACCCGCACAAGCGGUGGAGCAUGUGGUUUAAUUCGACGCAACGCGAGGAACCUUACCAGAUCUUGACAUCCUACGUAGGCCUGUGAGAACAGGCUGUGCCUUCGGGAACGUAGAGACAGGUGGUGCAUGGCUGUCGACAGCUCGUGUCGUGAGAUGUUGGGUUAAGUCCCGCAACGAGCGCAACCCCU